rnacentral:rRNA from 1 species
CGAACGGGUGAGUAACGCGUGAGUAACCUGCCCUAGAGUGGGGGGACAACAGUUGGAAACGACUGCUAAUACCGCAUAAGCCCACGGAUCCGCAUGGAUCUGCGGGAAAAGGAUUUAUUCGCUUUAGGAUGGACUCGCGUCCAAUUAGCUAGUUGGUGAGGUAACGGCCCACCAAGGCGACGAUUGGUAGCCGGACUGAGAGGUUGAACGGCCACAUUGGGACUGAGACACGGCCCAG